UACGUAGGGGGCAAGCGUUAUCCGGAUUCACUGGGUGUAAAGGGAGCGUAGACGGCCAUACAAGCCUGGAGUGAAAGCCCGGGGCCCAACCCCGGGACUGCUCUGGGAACUGUGCGGCUGGAGUGCGGGAGGGGCAGGCGGAAUUCCUGGUGUAGCGGUGAAAUGCGUAGAUAUCAGGAGGAACACCGGCGGCGAAGGCGGCCUGCUGGACCGCGACUGACGUUGAGGCUCGAAAGCGUGGGGAGCAAACAGG
rnacentral:rRNA from 1 species